UUUAGGGCACCUAGACUAGUUUUUGUAUUAGGGGUAGUUUUGUAAUUUCACAUGCACUAAGUGGAUAUUUGAUGUGUGUGGUUGGAAAUAAAUUUAAUUGAAUUGGUAGAAGCCUAAUCCAAUUAAAUUUUAGAGGGGGAGGUGAGCAUUUGCUUACUACACCCCAUUGCCACAUCAUAUAGUCACACUUUGUGCAUGUCCUUCAUGCUUUUCAUGCCUCAUGACACCUAAGCACACUUAGUGGAGAAUCUUGGAAUUGAUCUUGGAUUAGUGGGCUGAACCAUAACUAAAAUUCACUAAUCAUAAUUAGUGAAAUUUUAGCUCCAAAGUUUGGCUCCACAAAUUCAAUUUCAAAUUCAAGUGAAAUUUGAAUUUCCCUCCAAUUUUGUGUGACACUUAGGCUAUAAAUAGAGGUCAUGUGUGUGAAUUUUUUUCAACUUUGAUCAUUUGAAUAUUAAACUUCAUAUUUCAAAGCUCAUUUGGAGCACAAAAUUUCGUGCUCUUCUCCCCCUCUCCCUUCAUUCAUCUCCUUCUUCCCCCAAGCUCUUAUCCAUGGCCUCUUAUGGUGGUGAGCUUCUUCUAGACUCAUCUUCUCCUUGAAGUGGCGUCUCCUCUCUCUCUCUCUUCCUUCUCCAUUCCGGGUCCAUUCAUUUUCCAAGAAGCAAAGGAAUCCAUUGAUGAAGAAGAUCCUAGGCCAACAAGCUUCAAUGGAGCUUGCAUCAUGUGGUAUCAGAGCAUCUUCAUCUAGGUGAUGUUCUUUUGCUUCCUCUAUCUUUUUGUUCUGUGAAUUCUCUUUAAUUCCUUGUUCUUCAUCUUAUUCUCCAUGUAUAUCCUCCAUUGUCUUGUGGUUUGGUACUGUUUAGAAUAGAUUCAAAAAAAAUAAACCGAUUAAAUCUUAGAUCUACACUUGUUCUUGCAUUUCCAUGGUUCAAAUUUUGUAGAUCUACUCUUGAAUCUUAUUUUUGUGUUGAUUUUAGGUUCUAUCAUUUUUCAUUCAUAAUAUUCUUGUGCUGAACCUUAGAUCUAAAUUUUCUUCCAAAAUAUUGAUUAGAAAAAAAAACACAAAAAUCUAAGUGUUAAUCACUUAAUCCAUGUUGUCUUAGAGUCAUGUUUAGUCAUAGUAAUUGUCACAUUAUGUUCUAAGUUUGUGUUGAAUUUUUAUUUUGUUGAUUGAAUUCUAGAUACAUUUGUUCAUGUAUUCUUGUCAUUCUUAGCCUAUCUUUUGAAUUUUGAGUCUAAUUCAUGCAUGUUAUUUAGUUCAUAACAUGUUCUAAAUCAAUUCCUAGAAGUAGUCUUGUUCUUGAACUUGUUUUUUGUUUUCUAAGUUUCCUACAUGAUGCCUAUGAUGAAGUUGAGUUGUGGUGCUGAGUUGUGGCUGGAUUUGUGAAUCAAAUAAGUCUUAAUGAUGCAAUCCUAUCCCGCAAGGGCAUUGGGUAGAAGACUCCAAGUAGAUUGGGCUAGAGAUCCAAGGGAAGGCCCUAGGGUUCUCAUGAGCCUUAGGGUAGAUUUCGAGCCCAUGGGCUAAGUAUAAGCCCGCUUAUCUUUGUAAAUAUUAGAAUAGGUUUUUCCUUCGUUUGGGCCUUGUAUUUUGGCCAUUCUAGUAGUAUAGGGUUUUAGCCCUGUAUUUCGGGGCAUUUUGAGUAGUCUUUGUAAGAAGGACAUUUUUUUUUUGUAUUUUCAUAUUUUUUGUCAUGGGGGUGAGCUUAGCUAUUAUAGGGGGUGUGUAGCUAAGUUCUAGCUUCUCAUCUCAAGGAGGUGAGCUUAGCUAUUAGAAAGGUAUGUGUAGCUAAGCUCUAGCUUCUUUAGGAAUCUUCUUAAGGAAGCUUCUCAAGGAGGUGAGCUUAGUUAUGAGAGGUGUGUGUGUAGCUAAGCUCUAGCUUCUCAAGGAAGUUUUCUCAAAGAAGCUUCUCAAGGAAGUUUUCUCAAGAAAGCUUCUCAAGGAAGCUACCUAGUCUAUAAAUAGAAGCAUGUGUAACACUUGUUGUAACUUUGAUCAAUGAGAGUCUUGUGAGACACAACUUAAAGUUCAACUUCUCUCCCUUUUUCUUCCUUCAAUUUCGUGCUCCCCCCUCUCUCUUUCUCUCCCUCUUUCUUUUCCUCCAUUGAAGCAUCCUCUCCAAGCUUCUUAUCCAAGGCUUAUCUUGGUGGUGAAGCUCCUUCUUCCAAGGCUUAUUCCCUAGUGGAUGGCGCCUCCCCUCUCCUCUUCUCCUUUGUCUUCCGCUGCAUCUCCAUGGUGGAAAAUCACCAUUAAAGGACCUCAUUAAAGCUCAAAGAUCCAGCCUCCAUAGAAGCCCCACAAGAAAGCUUCCAUCACUUAAGCUCUCUUGAAUUGUGUUAUUCAAGAUAAUUGAGCAUAAGCAAACACAAAUUGUAACUAUCCAAGCCUUAAGCAACAUAAACACUACUCUUGAUUUCUAGGUUGAAAUCGCUGGUGCUGGCAGCUUGAACAUACAAAAUUGUAUAAAUUACUGGGAAUUGGUCACUAAGAUUUGUGAGCCGAAAUUUUUACUGAAUUUUCUAGACAUCUGGAAAAAAAUUAUAAAAAAAGAACCAAGCGAUUUGGAUUAAAGGAAAAAAUAAUAAAAAUCACACAAGUUGGCAGAAAAAUCAGUGUCCAAGAAAAAAAAAGUGAAAGGGAAGUGUGCAUGUUGUUUUGGCUCAAAAAUUUGUUCUAUAAUUGGUGUCUAUUUUAUACCAAUCCUAGUUCUGAAAUUUAAAUUGAAAAUUAUUGUGAAAACAAGUGCCAAAACUAGAUGUUUCUUGAGUCUUUUUUUUUUAGUUUUUCUACUCUACUCUAGAGCCAUUCUAGGUUUCUCUUUGAGUCCUAGCUUGCUUUUUUGUGCUUUUCAUUGCUUUAAUUGUUGAAUAAUACUUGAAAAUUUGUCUUGUUAAAACUCUAUUGGUUUAGCUUUCAUUUCAUUUUUUUUGGUCUUUGGUUAUUGCUUGUCUCUUUGUUUCCUUGUUUGUGAGUUGCCAUAUAGGGAAUUGGAAAGGAGGAUUGGUGCCAUAUCUUGAAGAAUUUGAGUCAAGAAGAAAGGGGCCAACCACCUUAAGAGCUAUUGGACUAAAAAGCACUUCAAAUUGAGUGAAACACUAAAGAGAGAAUAGCCACCACAAUUGAGGACUUUUUUUUUUCUUUGUAAUUUUGUAAUUGGCAAUUUGCUUUGCUUUCAAAUUUUGUAACAAAAAGGCCUUUCAUUGGAAGUAAGUUGGGAGCCUCCGCUAGGUCACCCUACUUCCAUUUGUGUGUAAUAAUUUUAGGCAAUUUCCCCUUAGGAUAGUGAGUGUUUUGUUGGGAACCUUAAAUGAGGUCAUCCAAACACUCCUAGGAUCCGCCUAGUUUGCAUUUCUUGCACUUUAAUUUCUUGUUUAUUUUCAUAGCUUAUUUCCUUUACCCUCCAUUGUCAAACCGCCUAGAUAGCUUGCCUUUUACCAAUUAGUUUUUACCUUAUCUUUCACACCUCUUUUAGUGUUUAUUUUGGCAAGUUUCAACCAUAGUUUCUUUUACCUUUUUUUCAAACCCCCAACAAGAAAGAAGCAUAACUUAGGAACCAACAUGAGUCUUCAUUCUUCAUCUAGUGUUAAUGGUGAGGGUUCUACUCCUAAGUACCCCAUUGUAUAAGAUAUUAGAUGAGUUGAGAUCCCUUAAGUUGUGGAAAGAAAAACAAGAGAGAAAAGAAAAAGGUAAAAAAAGAGUGGAAGAAAUAAGUCAAGAUGAAAGAAAGAAAAUAAGAGAGGAAGAAAGAAGAAAAAUAAUGAAAGAAAUGAAAAGAGAAAAACAUGUCUCCUAUAGUAGUCAUAACUCUUGCAAGAGCCUAAGUGAAGAACUUCGUGACUAUUAUGAAAGAAGGCAUAGGUCACAUCUUAGACCUCACUCCCAUAGGAGAGAAAAUGAAAGAAAGCCUCAAGAGGUUAACAUUAAACUCCCAUACUUCCAUGGGAAGGACAAUGUAGAGGCUAAUUUAAAUUGGGAAAUAAGGAUAGAGCAACAACUUAAAAGGAAGUCUACUUCAAAAUCUUAUGGCUCUCACUCUUAUCCAAAGAAAGACCAAGGUAAAGGAAUCUUAGGGGUGAGACCUUCUAAGCCCAAAGAUGAUAAGGGGAAGACAAUAGAAAAGCAACCCCUUAAGGCUAGUAUGCAAGAGAAGACUAGCUCCGUGAAGUGCUUUAAAUGUCUUGGAAGAGGACACAUUACUUCUCAAUGCCCCACCAAGAAAACCAUGAUUAUGAGGGGCCAAGACAUUUAUAGUAGCCAAGAUGAGGCUACUACUUCACCUUCCUCUAGUGAAAGUGAAGAAGCAAAGGGGGGAGAAUCUAGUGAAGAAAUCUAUCCCCAAGAAGAAGGACAACCUUUAAUGGUUAAGGAGGAGUGUAAGGAGGUAAGUGUCUCCUCCAAGAGGUUAGCUAAGAAGGAAAGACAUUUUGAAAUAAAGACAAAUAUUAAAGAAAUUUCCCUUCUUAGAAAACCUCCACAUUUUCUCCUUUGUAAAAAGACACUUGUUAGCAUUGCCACAUCUCUUAGGUUUGAGUUUAUUCCUCAAGUAAAGGAGUUGUUGGAUGAGGGUUUGGUUCGCAAGAGAUUAAAUCCUUGUGCUUUGUUGGUGCCCAAAAUAGGUAUUAUUAGGCACCAAAUCCCUAAAAUAGGUGGUGUGAUAAAUGUUUUGGGUGGUGCAACACUCUUUUGUAAAAUCACUCGUGCACCCAACAUCUUCAUGAUUUGUGUACAUAGGGACUCAUUAGGUAGGUUUGUUCUUAUUUUUAGUUUCAAUACAAACUUAGGCACUCAUAUGGGACACCUUAGGUUUGUCAUACUUUUUGGUAGGAAUAAUAAACAUGAAAAUACAGAAAAAGGUAUGUUCUAUUGCUUUACUUUUCUUAAUUUUUUAAAUUGUGAUCAAGGGGUUCCCGUGAACCCUAAGAGAAUAAAGGUCAUUCCUGAGUGGCCCGCUCCACCAAGUGUAAGAAAAAUUUGGGGCUUCCAAGACUUAACAAACUUUUACAAAAGGUUUGCCCCAUAUUUUUCUAUACUUGUAGCACCACUCAUUGAGUUGGUGAGGAACCAUGUUCCUUCAUGGGAAGAUGCCCAGGAAAUGAGUUUUCAGACCUUACCUUACUUCAACAUACUAAACACCACUAAUACAUAUGUUUUUGUUCUUUUUACAGGUGUUGAGGAAAAAAUCCCAGAGUUUCAAGAACCUCGGGAUUUGAGGUCAAAUCCUUUUCAAGGGAGAGGGAAUGAUGCAAUCCUACCCCGCAAGGGCAUUGGAUAGAAAACUCCAAGUAGAUUGGGCCAGAGAUGCAAGAGAAGGCCCUAGGGUUCUUAUGAGCCUUAGGGUAGAUUUCGGGCCCAUGGGCUAAGUACGAGCCCACUUAUCUUUGUAAAUAUUAGAUUAAGGUUUCAUUAUUUUUGGGCCUUGUAUUUAGGGUUCCAUAAUGUAGGUAGGGUACCCUAUAAAUAUAGGAUUUUUCAGCCCUUGUAUUUUAGGGCACCUAGACUAGUUUUUGUAUUAGGGGUAGUUUUGUAAUUUCACAUGCACUAAGUGGAUAUUUGAUGUGUGUGGUUGGAAAUAAAUUUAAUUGAAUUGGUAGAAGCCUAAUCCAAUUAAAUUUUAGAGGGGGAGGUGAGCAUUUGCUUACUACACCCCAUUGCCACAUCAUAUAGUCACACUUUGUGCAUGUCCUUCAUGCUUUUCAUGCCUCAUGACACCUAAGCACACUUAGUGGAGAAUCUUGGAAUUGAUCUUGGAUUAGUGGGCUGAACCAUAACUAAAAUUCACUAAUCAUAAUUAGUGAAAUUUUAGCUCCAAAGUUUGGCUCCACAAAUUCAAUUUCAAAUUCAAGUGAAAUUUGAAUUUCCCUCCAAUUUUGUGUGACACUUAGGCUAUAAAUAGAGGUCAUGUGUGUGAAUUUUUUUCAACUUUGAUCAUUUGAAUAUCAAACUUCAGAUUUCAAAGCUCAUUUGGAGCACAAAAUUUCGUGCUCUUCUCUCUCUCUCCCUUCAGUCAUCUCCUUCUUCCCCCAAGCUCUUAUCCAUGGCCUCUUAUGGUGGUGAGCUUCUUCUAGACUCAUCUUCUCCUUGAAGUGGCGUCUCCUCUCUCUCUCUCUUCCUUCUCCAUUCCGUUGCCAUUCAUUUUCCAAGAAGCAAAGGAAUCCAUUGAUGAAGAAGAUCCUAGGCCUACAAGCUUCAAUGGGGCUUGCAUCAGUUUGCCUAGAAUGAGAGGAAUUAAAUGCCAAGUAACAUUAGCAUGAAGUGCAAUAAUUUGUCCAUCAUUUCCUGAUGCCACCUUAGGAAAGUAAUAAAAGAACAAUAUGGUGAAGACAAAUGAGAAGAGAGAAAGUAGGUAACGAGUUAGUAGGAGUCUUUGCCUCUUUGGAGGAACAUCAUCAAUAGUCUAAGUUCUCUAAGAGUGACCAUGAUAAACUUGUAAAGGAAUAGAGGAUGAAGACAACUCACAUGCCCUUGGGUAACCUUUUUUAUUAAGAAAUAAUAGAACACUCUUUUAUCA
rnacentral:lncRNA from 1 species